rnacentral:rRNA from 1 species
CCCCAGACUCCUACGGGAGGCAGCAGUGGGGAAUAUUGCACAAUGGGGGAAACCCUGAUGCAGCAACGCCGCGUGAGUGAAGAAGUAUUUCGGUAUGUAAAGCUCUAUCAGCAGGGAAGAAGAUGACGGUACCUGAUUAAGAAGCCCCGGCUAACUACGUGCCAGCAGCCGCGGUAAUACGUAGGGGGCAAGCGUUAUCCGGAUUUACUGGGUGUAAAGGGAGCGUAGACGGCCAUGCAAGCCUGGAGUGAAAGCCCGGGGCCCAACCCCGGGACUGCUCUGGGAACUGUGCGGCUGGAGUGCGGGAGGGGCAGGCGGAAUUCCUGGUGUAGCGGUGAAAUGCGUAGAUAUCAGGAGGAACACCGGCGGCGAAGGCGGCCUGCUGGACCGCGACUGACGUUGAGGCUCGAAAGCGUGGGGAGCAAACAGGAUUAGAUACCCCCGUAGUA